rnacentral:lncRNA from 1 species
ACUGAUAAACUCUCCCUUUCCCAAACUCAUCUUCAACCCCCUUGCACUGCCUGUUUAAUUCAGCGUCAUCAGAAAAUAACCCCAAAUGUCUUGCACUCCUGGCUUCUGCUGAUAGAGGAGAAAGGGCUUAAGACCCUGAAAAAAAAAAUUUAUAGGAAAAUUUCCCCAAAAGGUAAGCACAAUAAAAAGUCAAAAGGAGGUACGGGCUGAAGAAUGACUUCCUGCAAUGUGUAAUUUCAAGUAUUCCUGUAUCCUGGAGAAGGCAGCACUCGAGCCACCAUCUUGGAAGUGAAGAUCAGGCCCUCAGCAGACACAAAACCUGCCAGUGCCAUGAUCUUGGAUUUUUCAACCUGCAGGACUAUUCAAUGAAAUUCCAAUGAAAAUCUCAAGUUAUUAUGUGAAUAUUGAAAAACGAACCCUAAAGUUUAUAUGGAGAGCCAAAAAAUGCAAAAGAGCCAGCACAUAUUGAAAGAGAAGAACAAAGUCAGAAGAUUGACACUACCUGACUUCAAGACUUAUGAUAAAGCUUCAGUAAUAAAGACAGUGUGGUAUGGACAAACUAAUAGAAAUACAGAUCAAUGGAACAGAACAGAGAACCCAGAAAUAGAUUCACAUAAAUAUAUUGUCAACUGACCUUUGACAAAUAAGAAAAAGCAAUACAGUAGAGCAAAAAUAGCCUUUUCACUAAACAAAUGAACAUCCACAUUCAAAAAAAAAAAAUGAAUCUAGAUGGAGACUUACAUGCUUCACAAAAAUUAACUCAAAAUGAAUAAUAAACCUAAAUGUAAAACACAAAACAAUAAAAAUCCUAGAAAUAACAUGGAAGAAAAUCUAGAUAACCGUGGGGAUGAAGAUGAGUUUUUAGAUACAGCAUCAUCGGUAUAAUCCACGAAAGAAAAAAUAGAUAAACUGGACUUCAAUGAAAUUAAAAUUUCUGUUCUGCAUAAGACAAUGUCUAGAUAACAAGAAAACAAGGCACAGACUGGGAAGGCAUAUUUGGAAAAGACACAUAUGAUAGAGGACAGUUAUCUAAAAUAUAUCAUGCACCCUUAAAGUUCAACAAUAAUCAAACAAUCUGACUGACAAAUGGGCUGAAGACCUUAAGAGACACUUUACUUAAAGAAGAUUAUACAGAUGGGAAAUAA